CCCUUAGAUGUCCUGGGCCGCACGCGCGUUACACUGAUGCAUUCAACGAGCUUAUAACCUUGGCCGAGAGGCCUGGGCAAUCUUGUUAACGUGCAUCGUGAUAGGGAUAGAUUAUUGACAUUAUUAAUCUUGAACGAGGAAUUCCUAGUAAACGCAGAUCAUCAAUCUGCAUUGAUUACGUCCCUGCCCUUUGUACACACCGCCCGUCGCACCUACCGAUUGGAUGGUCCGGUGAAGCCUCGGGAUUGUGGUUCUUGCCGCUUUAUUGUGGCGUGACCGCGAGAACUUGUCUAAACCUUAUCAUCUAGAGGAAGGUGAAGUCGUAACA
rnacentral:rRNA from 1 species